UUUGUUACCGGGGACUAAUUUUUAUGAUGAAUAGUGCUCUCAGGUAAUCCUUCUCCAGCGUCCCCUUCUUUUUCACAUAGUGUGCUAACCAGUGUUGGACCAAUCAGAAGUAGUACUGCUAGUUAUGGAUCUGUACUCAUAGAAGGGAGAUUCAGGGUAUGUCUAUCUUUACCACUCUUAGAACGUGUAGUCAACUUACAGUACUUGUUUUUGUUGGUGUCAUUUACAGGAAUGUUCAAUUUCAGCUUGUGGAAGCAGUUUUAUUGGUAACUCUACCAGUAAAUAUUUCAUUAGUAUUGGUAGUGAUAGAUAGACAGAAAGUGAUGGUGGUGUGUGUCAAAAAAAGAAAGUGAUGGUGGUGGUGGGUGGCGAGAGGUGGUGGAGACGACCAUGUUUAAGUAUCAUAGAUCAAGACAUUUUUCUGCUUUUUCAAAUUCUUGCUUAUGGUCGAUUUACAUAGGCAACACUCAGAGAUAUUUCUGCCCUGUAUAUGACACAAACGGCCCUGUCAACAUGAUGGGUCUUACGUAUUUGCACUAAGAAUAUGUCUUUCUCUUUAUCAUGCUUCCUCUGCUAAACAAUGUGUCUUUCUCUUAAUUAGUAUCAACUUGUGCAAAUUCCAAGGCUAAAUGGUUAUGUAUGUACAGUUACUUGCGAGGAUAAUUGGCUAGUUAUGUAUUCACAGUACUUGGUCAACAGAAAAAUGAAGCUUAAAUUCUUUAAGUGCAACUAAGGCUUAAAGCUCAGUUCGAUGAGGAAGCACGUUCCCCCUUUGCCAAGAAGUACGGUAACAGUUAUUCAUCCCGGAGAGGGUUGUGACAGUUCUAUCGUUUCUGUGAAAAACUAGUUUUGAAGGGGAAACGGAAUCAGGAAGCUGCCACAGAACAUGAAGAUUGUUGCUACACAUACCGAUAAUCCCGAUAAUGAUGCUGCUUGUUGUCAUAUAGCAAAGGCUGAAAAAGGAAAGGGCCAGCAUCAACAGCUACCACUGGUAAGAGCUCCGGAGAUGAUAUCUUUUGAGAUUCUCGCUCGAUUCGUGAAUUCAAAAUUCGUGAAUUCAAACUCAUAUCUUGUAAUUGAAUUAGGUUUCUAAUUUAGAAGGAGAGAUGGUGGAAAAGGGGAAGAAGAAGAAGAACAAGAGUAUAAGAAGAAGAUUCAAAGAAUUGACGGCAUGGAGAGAUAUUCCUUGUAGUUCCCGCCUAGAUGCCGUCUACAUGGAUCUAAAAGUGCAGCAACAACAGAUCGAUGUGUACUAAAGUUGUAUUCGGCAAGCCUUCAUACACAGUGCUCUGGUAUCAGUUGUUGUCCAGGGAACAUCACAAACGAUGAUAAACAAGUUAAGCUGGGGUUUUGGAAGAGCACUGGGUAUUACUACAGGUUCACAUUGUGAAAAUUAUGGAGAACGGUCUUAAUACGUGGAGUCAAAAGUGAAUGAAAGUAUUUUCAAUCAGUUUUUUUUCUUCGGUGUAGCCAUUAUGCAUAAUUUUCUCAGUAUAUAUCAUAUGUACUCUUCUUUUUUUACUGUGUAUUUGAGAUUUUUCUUAGUAUAUAUCAGAUGUAUUCAUUUCU